ACUGAAUGAAAACGGGUAGUCCUUGUUCUGCUUGGGGGGCUUUAAGGAAGCAAAUGGACUUUCAGAACAGAGAUUGUCAAUAAAGGGUCAAUCCUCACGCCGCAUGGUUGGGUUUCCGAAAUAAGAUUUGCAGAAAGAAAAAUGUGCCAUUGAUCUUGGACAUAAAUUUAUAACUUAUGUUGGUUGUUUAAUAUUCUAUCCAAAGAUCAACAUAUCAUGUCAACACUUUCUCUAAUACGAUGGCAAGUGGCAGGAACAAAUUGUACAGAAUCCUCUUUCAAAAUUGAAGGUUUGUGGCAACCCUGCAUGGAGCAAGUCUAUCGGCAUAAUUUUUCCAACAGUAUUUGCUCACUUUAUGUCUCUGUCACAUCUCCAUAAUUAUCACAAUAUUUCAAAUUUUUUCAUUAUUAUUAUAUUUGUUAUGGUGAUCUCUGGUCUGUGAUCUUUGAUGUUGCUCUUACAUUUAUUUCAGGGUGCCACAAACCACACCCACAUGAGACAGCAAACUUAAUUGAUAAAUGUCAUGUGUGUUCUGACGGCUCCCCUGACCCGCCGUUCCCCUGUCUCUCUCCCUCUCCUCGGAGCUCUCUAAUCCCUGAGACACAACAAUAUUGAAAUUAGGCCAGUUAAUAACCCUACGAUGGCCUCUAAGUGUUCAAUUGAAAAGAAAGAGUCACACGUUUCUCACUUUAAAUCAAAAGCUAGAAAUAAUUAAACUUAGUGAGGAAGGCAUGUUGAAAGCUGAGAUAGGCUAAAAGCUAGGGCUCUUGUGCCAAACAGUUAACCAAGUUUUAAAUCCAAAGGAAAAUUGGAAAUUUUGAAGGAAAUUAAAAGCACUACUCCAGUGAACACAUGAAUGAUAAGAAAGUGAAACAGCCUUACUGCUGAUAUAGAGAAAGUUUUAAUGGUCUGGAUAGAAGAUCAAACCAGCCACAAUAUUCCCUUAAACCAAAGCCUAAUCCAGAGCAAGGCCCUAACUCUCUUCAAUUCUGUGAAGGCUGAGAGAGGUAAGGAAGCUGCAGAAGAAAAGCUUGAAGGUAGCAGAGGUUGGCUCAUGAGGUUGAAACCAUAACACCUCCAUAACACCAAAAUACAAGGUGAAGCAGCAAGUGCUGAUAUAGAAGCUGCAGCAAGUUAUCCAGAAGAUCUAGCUAAGGUCAUUAAUGAAGGUGGCUUCACUAAACAACAGAUUUUUAAAGUAGAUGAAACAAUCUUCUACUGGAAGAUGCCACCUAGGACUUUCGUAGCUAGAGAGAAUAAGUCAAGGCCUGGCUUCAAAGCUUCACAGGACAAGCUGACUCUCUAAUUAGGGGCUAAUGCAGCUGGUGACUUGAAGUUGAAGCCAAUGCUCAUUUACCAUUCUGAAAAUCCUAGGGCCCUUAAGAAUUAUGCUAAAUCUACUCUGCCUGUGCUCUCUAAAUGGCACAACAAAGCCUGGAUGACAGCAUAUCUUUUGACAACAUGGUUUACUGGAUAUUUGAAGCCACUGUUGAGACCUGCUACUCAGAAAACAAGACUUCUUCCAAAAUAUUACUGCUCAUUGACAAUGCACCUGCUCACCCAAGAGCUCUGAGAACGAUGUACAAGGUUAAUGUUAUUUUCAUGACUGCCAACACAACACCCACUGUGCAGCCCAUGGAUCAAGGAGUAAUUUAAACUUUCAAGUCUUAUUAAGGAAAUACAUUUCAUGAGCCUAUAGCUGCCAUAGAUAGUGACUCCUCUAAUGGCUCUGGGAAUAGUAAAUUGAAAAUUUUCUAGAAAGAAUUCACCAUUCUAGAUGCCAUUAAGAACAUUCGUGAUUCAUGGGAAGAGGUCAAAUUAUCAACAUUAACAGGAGUUUGGAAGAAGUUGACUCCAACCCUCAUGGAUCACUUUGAGGGUCUCAAGACUUCAGUGGAGGAAGAGCUACAGAUGUGGAAAUAGCAAGAGAACUAGAAUUAGAAGUGGAGCCUGAAGAUGUGACUGAAUUGCUGCAAUCUCAUAAUCAAACUUUAACAGGUGGGGGGUUGCUUCUUAUGGAUGAGAAAACAAAGUAGAUGAAAUCUACUCCUGAUGAAGAUGCUGUGAAGAUUACUGAAAUGACAACAAAGGACUUAGAAUACUACAUAAACUUAGUUGAUAAAGCAGUGACAGGGUUUGAGAGGACUGACUCCAAUUUUGAAAGAAGUUCUACUGUGGGGAAAAUGCUAUCAAAAAACAUUUCAUGCUACAGAGAAAUCAUUUGUGAGAGGAAGAAUCAACAAGGCAAACUUCAUCGUCUUAUUUUAAGAAAUUGCUACAGCUACCCUAACCCUCUGCAACCACCACCCUGAUCGGUUAGCAGCCAUCAACAUCGAGGCAAAAUCCUCCAUCAGCAAAAAGAUUAUGACUCGCAGAAGCCUCGCAUGAUGGUUAGCAUUUUUUCAGCAAUAAAGAAGGAAUACCCUUCCUAAGCUCUGGAUGUGUCCUCUGAGAAGGUACCCAUGACACAGACCACACUGGACACCAACUCAGAUAUUGGGGGAAGGUUCCACGACAGCUGAGUGCGGACAUGCUGACCACUGAACCCUUUGAUGAAUGAAAAGCUGCUAAGCUCUCCUCUCAAGCUGAUGGGGCUGGUGCUGCCUUAAAGCGCUGAGAGAUGCCAUGCCAAUUCACGGCAAGGUCUUUAUUGUUGAAACUCUUGCAUCAUGACAUCUUUAUGCAUGUGAAAAUACAGGAUGAAUUUCAACUAUAUGAUAUUGUUCAUGU